rnacentral:rRNA from 1 species
AUGAACGCUGGCGGCGUGCCUAAUCCAUGCAAGUCGAACGAAACUUCUUUAUCACCGAGUGCUUGCACUCACCGAUAAAGAGUUGAGUGGCGAACGGGUGAGUAACACGUGGGCAACCUGCCCAAAAGAGGGGGAUAACACUUGGAAACAGGUGCUAAUACCGCAUAACCAUAGUUACCGCAUGGUAACUAUGUAAAAGGUGGCUAUACUACCGCUUUUGGAUGGGCCCGCGGCGCAUUAGCUAGUUGGUAGGGUAAAGGCUUACCAAGGCAAUGAUGCGUAGCCGAAUUGAGAGGUUGAUCGGCCACAUUGGGACUGAGACACGGCCCAAACUCCGACGGGAGGCAGCAGUAGGGAAUCUUCCACAAUGGGCGAAAGCCUGAUGGAGCAACGCCGCGUGGGUGAAGAAGGUCUUCGGAUCGUAAAACCCUGUUGUUAGAGAGGAAAGUGCGUGAGAGUAACUGUUCACGUUUCGACGGUAUCUAACCAGAAAGCCACUGCUAACUACGUG